AACAAGGAGCCGGUAUCAGGCACAGUUAACGCCAGCCCAUGACACCUUGCUUAGCCACACCCUCAAGGGACUUCAGCAGUGAUAAACAUUAAGCUAUAAGUGAAAACUUGACUUAGUUAAAGCUAAAAGAGCCGGUAAAACUCGUGCCAGCCACCGCGGUUAUACGAGAGGCUCAAGUUGACAGACAACGGCGUAAAGAGUGGUUAAGGAAUUUACUAAACUAAAGCCGAACGCCCUCAGAACUGUUAUACGUUUCCGAAGGUAAGAAGCCCCACCACGAAAGUGACUUUAUUUUCCCCGACUCCACGAAAGCUGCGGAACAAACUGGGAUUAGAUACCCCAUUAUGCCCAGCCCUAAACUUUGAUAGACCAUUACACCCACUAUCCGCCAGGGUACUACGAGCAUUAGCUUAAAACCCAAAGGACUUGGCGGUGCUUUAUAUCCACCUAGAGGAGCCUGUUCUAGAACCGAUAACCCCCGUUAAACCUCACCCUCCCUUGUUUUUUCC
rnacentral:rRNA from 1 species